rnacentral:antisense_RNA from 1 species
GCGAAAUACGAUAAUUGGUACAAGUUACAACACAAAGGGCCGACCUACUGCGAAUAGGUCGGCCCU